rnacentral:rRNA from 1 species
AAAGGAAUAGACGGGGACCCGCACAAGCGGUGGAGCAUGUGGUUUAAUUCGAAGCAACGCGAAGAACCUUACCAAAUCUUGACAUCCUUCUGACCGGUCCGUAACGGGAUCUUUCCUUCGGGACAGAAGAGACAGGUGGUGCAUGGUUGUCGUCAGCUCGUGUCGUGAGAUGUUGGGUUAAGUCCCGCAACGAGCGCAACCCUUAUCCCCAGUAGCCAGCAGGUAAAGCUGGGCACUCUGAGGAGACUGCCAGGGAGAACCUGGAGGAAGGCGGGGAUGACGUCAAAUCAUCAUGCCCCUUAUGAUUUGGGCUACACACGUGCUACAAUGGCGUGAACAGAGGGAAGCAGAGCCGCGAGGCCGAGCGAAUCUCAAAAAACGCGUCCCAGUUCGGACUGUAGUCUGCAACCCGACUACACGAAGCUGGAAUCGCUAGUAAUCGCAGAUCAGAAUGCUGCGGUGAAUACGUUCCCGGGUCUUGUACACACCGCCCGU